AGAACGAACGCUGGCGGCAUGCCUAAUACAUGCAAGUCGAACGAACACUUCGGUGUUAGUGGCGCACGGGUGCGUAACGCGUGGGAAUCUGCCCUUGGGUUCGGAAUAACAGUUGGAAACGACUGCUAAUACCGGAUGAUAUCGAAAGAUCAAAGAUUUAUCGCCCAGGGAUG
rnacentral:rRNA from 1 species